CCUACGGGGGGCAGCAGUGGGGAAUAUUGGACAAUGGGGGGAACCCUGAUCCAGCCAUGCCGCGUGUGUGAAGAAGGCCCUCGGGUUGUAAAGCACUUUCAGUGAGGAAGAACGCCUGGUGGUUAAUACCCAUCAGGAAAGACAUCAUUCACAGAAGAAGCACCGGCUAACUCCGUGCCAGCAGCCGCGGUAAUACGGAGGGUGCGAGCGUUAAUCGGAAUUACUGGGCGUAAAGCGCGCGUAGGUGGCUUGAUAAGCCGGUUGUGAAAGCCCCGGGCUCAACCUGGGAACGGCAUCCGGAACUGUCAAGCUAGAGUGCAGGAGAGGAAGGUAGAAUUCCCGGUGUAGCGGUGAAAUGCGUAGAGAUCGGGAGGAAUACCAGUGGCGAAGGCGGCCUUCUGGACUGACACUGACACUGAGGUGCGAAAGCGUGGGUAGCAAACAGGAUUAGAUACCCUGGUAGUC
rnacentral:rRNA from 1 species